ensembl:lncRNA
AUCGGUGGGAUGGAUGGGGUGGGUGGGGACACCUUUGGGAUGGGUGGGAUGAGUGGGUCCGCAUUGGGAAAGGUGGGAGGGGUGGUAUGGAUGGGAUGGGAGGGAUCAUUGGUGGGAUGGGUGGGAUCAGUGGGAUGGAUGGGAUGGGUGGGAUGAUGGGAUGGAUGGGAUUACGGCUGGGGUGGAUGGGGUCAUCGGUGGGCUUAUGGGAUGGUGGAAUGGGUGGGAUCACCAGUGGGGUCAUGGGACCAAUGGGUGACAUGGGUGGAUCGUCCAUGGCAUGAGUGGGAUCGCUGGGAUUGAUGGGAUAAUUGGUGGGAUGGGUGGGAUGAUGGGAUGGGGGGAUCAAUAGGAUGGAUGGGAUCAUUGGUGGGGUCAUGGGAUCGAUGGGUGACAUGGGUGGGACCAUGGAUGGGAUCAUCAGCGGCAUCCAUGGGAUCAGUGGGAUCAGUGGGAUGGAUGGGAUCAUCAGUGGCAUCCAUGGGAUCAGAGGUAUUGCUGGGAUGGAUGGGAUCAUCACUGGGGUCAUGGGAUCAUCAGUGGCAUCCAUGGGAUCAGUGGGAUUGAUGGGAUGGAUGGGAUCAUCAGAGGCAUCCAUGGGAUCAGUGGGAUCAGUGGGAUGGAUGGGAUCAUCACUGGGAUCCAUGGGAUCAGUGGCAUCGUUGGGAAGGGUGGGAUCAUCAGUGGGGUCAUGGGAUGAAUGGUUGACAUGGGUGAGGUCACUGGUGGCAUCAUCAGUGGGAUCAGUGGGAUCGCUGGGAUGGAUGGGAUCAUUGGUGGGAUGGAUGGGAUCAUCAGUUGGGAUGGGUGGGAUCAUCAGUGGGGCCAUGGGAUCAGUGGGAUUGCUGGGAUGGGUGGUACCAUCAGUGAGGUCAUGGGAUCAGUGUGAUCGCUGGUGUGGAUGGGAGCAUCACUGGGAUCCAUGGGAUCAGUGGGAUCGUUGGGAUGGAUGGGAUCAUCAGUGGGGUCAUGGGGUCGAUGGGUGACAUGGGUGGGAUCAAUGGUGGGAUCAAUGGGAUGGAUGGGAUCAUUGGGGUCAUGGGCUCAAUGGGUGAUAUGGGUGGGAUCAGGGAUGGGAUCAUCAGCGGCAUCCAUGGGAUCAGUGGGAUCAGUGGGAUGGAUGGGAUCAUCAUGAGGUCAUGGGAUCAGUGGGAUCGCUGGUGUGGAUGGGAUAAUCACUGGGAUCCAUGGGGUCAAUGGGAUCUUUGGGAUGGAUGGGAUCAUCAGUGGGGUCAUGAGAUCAGUGGGAUUGCUGGGAUGGAUGGGAUCAUUGUUGGGAUGGGCGUAGUGGAUGGGAUCAGUGGGAUCAUCAGCGGGAUGUAUGGGAUCACUGAGACUGGGAUAGCUGGGAUGGAUGGGAUCAGCAGCGGCGUCAUGGGAUCGAUGGUGACAUCACCAGUGGGAUCAUGGGUGGCAUCAGGGGGAUCGUUGGGAUGGGUGGGAUCACUGAGGGAUGGAUGGGAUGGGUCGGAUCGCGGCUGGCAUCAGUGGGAUCGGGGGGACCAAUGGCAUUGCUGGGAUCGCAUGGAUGGAUGGGAUCGUCGGUGGGGUUAUGGGAUCAAUGGGUGACAUGGGUGGGACCACGGAUGGCAUCAAUGGGAUGGAUGGGAUCGUCGGUGGGGUUAUGGGAUCAAUGGGUGACAUGGGUGGGACCACUGGUGGGAUCAUGGGUGGCAUCAGUGAGAUCAGUGGGGUCGCUGGGAUGGAUGGGAUCAUCACUGGGAUUGUUGGGGUUGGUGGGACGGAUGGGAUCAUCACUGGGAUUGGUGGGAUGGAUGGGAUGGAUGGGAUCAU